AGCCUUGAGGUGAUAGUCACGUCGAAUUGCAAAUUCGAAGGUGUAGAGGUUGAUUCUACUAAGGCUU
rnacentral:tRNA from 1 species